rnacentral:rRNA from 1 species
GAUGAACGCUGGCGGCGUGCCUAAUACAUGCAAGUCGAGCGAACAGACGAGGAGCUUGCUCCUCUGACGUUAGCGGCGGACGGGUGAGUAACACGUGGAUAACCUACCUAUAAGACUGGGAUAACUUCGGGAAACCGGAGCUAAUACCGGAUAAUAUAUUGAACCGCAUGGUUCAAUAGUGAAAGACGGUUUUGCUGUCACUUAUAGAUGGAUCCGCGCCGCAUUAGCUAGUUGGUAAGGUAACGGCUUACCAAGGCAACGAUGCGUAGCCGCCCUGAGAGGGUGAUCGGCCACACUGGAACUGAGACACGGUCCAGACUCCUACGGGAGGCAGCAGUAGGGAAUCUUCCGCAAUGGGCGAAAGCCUGCCGGAGCAACGCCGCGUGAGUGAUGAAGUUCUUCGGAUCGUAAAACUCUGUUAUUAGGGAAGAACAAAUGUGUAAGUAACUAUGCACGUCUUGACGGUACCUACUCAGAAAGCCACGGCUAACUACGUG